rnacentral:rRNA from 1 species
UUAGCGGCGGACGGGUGAGUAACGCGUGGAUAACCUGCCGUAUACAGGGGGAUAACACUUAGAAAUAGGUGCUAAUACCGCAUAAGCGCACGGUUCCGCAUGGAACAGUGUGAAAAACUCCGGUGGUAUACGAUGGAUCCGCGUCUGAUUAGCCAGUUGGCGGGGUAACGGCCCACCAAAGCGACGAUCAGUAGCCGGCCUGAGAGGGUGAACGGCCACAUUGGGACUGAGACACGGCCCAAACUCCUACGGGAGGCAGCAG